GAAGGGAUCGGGAUCGGCGGUGAGGGGCUGCGGAGGUCCCGGGGUGCCGGGCUCGGAGGAGCUCCGGGAGCGGAGGUUGGGAGUGUUGGGAGUGCCGGGAACGGGGACGGCGAGAGCGACCCCGGGAACGGGGAUGGGGACAGAGAGGGGGACCCCAGAAAUAGAGACGGGAACGGCGAGAGGGACCCGGGAACGGGGGUGGGAAGGGAAGGGGGAUCCCAAAACUGGGAUGAGAACAAUAAGGGGGACCCCGGGAAUGGGGACGGGGGGCAGAGGGGGCCCAGGCCCCACUGCAGGGUGGGGGUCUCGGGGUCGGUCCCGCACGUCCCUGAGCCCCUUCUCCACCCCACCCCCGUGCAGGGACGGCGAAGGAGCUGUCGGGGACCCCCUGCAGCACAGGACCCCCAGAACUGGGGGGAAAGAGGGAAAGGGCAGCAUGGGGGACAGCGGGGUCCCCCCGGCGUGUCCCCUGCAGGACGGGGACACAGCGCUCCCGGAACGAGGGGACGGUGCAGCCCAGACCCCAGCCCAUUCCUCGGCUGCUCCCGUGGAGUCCCCGAGCCCCAGCGAGCCCCUGGACGGUUUCCCCCUGAAGCAUUCCAACACCUUGACCAACAGACAGAGAGGCAACGAGGUGUCAGCGCUGCCGGCCACGCUGGACACGCUGUCCAUCCACCAGCUCGCUGCCCAAGGGGAGCUCACCCAGCUGAAGGAGCACCUGAGGAAAGGUGAGAAUUUGGUGAACAAACCCGACGAGAGAGGCUUCACCCCCCUGCUCUGGGCCGCAGCCUUCGGGGAGAUCGAGACCGUGCGGCACCUGCUGGAGUGGGGAUUAUUUUGGGAAUUUUGUUUUGGGAUCCCCAGGGCGCCGAUCCCCACGCGCUGGCCAAGGAGCGCGAGAGCGCGCUGGCCCUGGCCAGCAUGGGCGGCUACACCGACAUCGUCACCAUGCUGCUGGACAGGGACGUGGACAUCAACACCUUCGACUGGAACGGGGGCACCCCCCUGCUCUACGCCGUGCGCGGGAACCACGUCAAGUGUGUGGAGGCCCUGCUGGCUUCGGGGCGCCUGUUCCCCCAUUGCUGCCCUGCAGCGUGCGGCGCUGACCUGACCGAGGAGGCGGAUUCGGGGUACACCCCCAUGGACCUGGCCGUGGCCCUGGGACACAAGAAAGUCCAGCAGGUUAUCGAGAACCACAUCCUGAAGCUGUUCCAGAACAAGAAGUGAGGCAGCAGCUCCAGCUCUUCCCAGGGUCACCAUGGCCUCAUCCCGGCCUGGAGAAAUCCAGGAAUUUCUGCCCUGGUGGAUCCAGGCUUCACCCGGGGUGGCAUGGCUGCCGUGCUGAAAUCCAGGGACACUCACUCCAGCCCUGGCUCGGCUGCUCCGUGUUUGCCCUCAGAAGUAAACUCUAAUUGCAAUUAAACUCCGUGGAGCCCCA